UAAUAGUAACAACAAUAGUAACACUACUACCAAGAGUUGGGAUUGAUUGUCAUUGCCUGCAAGUCACCACUUAUGCUAACAAAUGUAAACUCUUGUGGCAAGAGUUUGAGCAGAUGUUGAUAAAUGUUUUAACACUUGCUGGCACAAGGAAGUGAUUCUUCUGUCUCUGUUUCUCCUUUCCGGUAUUUGGAUUCGGUGAGGUCUCUAAGCUUCUGGACCUAUCAAUUACUCUGAACCAGCCUUUUUCUUACUAACCAGGUCCAUUCUAUUUUUGUUUUCUUAGCAAUAGAAUGGCCUUUCUCUUGCAUAGAUUGAUGUUAAUAAUUGUAUAUUAGUUUGUUUGUAGGUUGUCAUUUGAAACCCUUUUCUUGCUCUUUGAACUGUUUUUGAGUAUUAAAAGAACGAAAAUUAAAAAUAAUCUGCAGAUUGUGCACAUAUGAGUGGCAAAACAACUUGCUUAUUGUUUCUAGAUCUUCAAAGACAAACCUGAUGUAUAGGGUUAAGUUUCCUUUUCGAAGAAAUGAAAAAUUGACUACGGCAAAGAUACAUAGUUGUAUGCGGCGGGUGGUUGUUAAUUACUAAUGUUGUCUCACUUCCACCAUUUGACAAUAUAUCAUACAAUGCAUAAUGCAAACAUAGAUUUUUGCUUUCUGUCAUUUAUGUUUAUUCCACUGUUAAUAUAUCAUACAGUGCAGAAUGCAAACAUUGAUUUUUGCUUUUUGUAAUUUAUGUUGAUUCCACUGUUAAUAAUUUGUCUACCUUGAUUGUGCAGGUGUUCAUUUUGUACAUUGUAACGGUAACAUUACUCUUUGAGAUCCUUGCUCUAGCAAUCCUUAAAGGUGUGGAUUGUUUUUUUUUUACAUUCUUUUUAUUUGCAAAGUUAUGUUUCAUAAUCAUAUCUUGCCUUUUGUUUCUUUAAUCGUCUCCAUGUUGCUGGUCCUUAGUUAUCUUGUUUUCUUGCACGCAGCUGAGGGCCCAAGGUGAGGAGAUGAAGACCUGUGUCGGGAGGGUGCAAGAACUUGUACAAGCCAUACAAAUGUCCGGCCUCCAAAUCUCGCUACCAGCACCUCAUCUUGCUCCACCUUCAACCUCAGAGCCACCUUGCCUUGUCGAUACCCAGUAGC
rnacentral:lncRNA from 1 species